UACGAAGGGGGCUAGCGUUGCUCGGAAUCACUGGGCGUAAAGGGGUGCGUAGGCGGGUCUUUAAGUCAGGGGUGAAAUCCUGGAGCUCAACUCCAGAACUGCCUUCGAUACUGGGAGCUCGAGUCCGGGAGAGGUGAGUGGAACUGCGAGUGUAGAGGUGAAAUUCGUAGAUAUUCGCAAGAACACCAGUGGCGAAGGCGGCUCACUGGCCCGGUACUGACGCUGAGGUGCGAAAGCGUGGGGAGCAAACAGGG
rnacentral:rRNA from 1 species